rnacentral:rRNA from 1 species
UACGUAGGGUGCAAGCGUUAAUCGGAAUUACUGGGCGUAAAGCGUGCGCAGGCGGUUGGGGAAGGCAGAUGUGAAAUCCCCGGGCUCAACCUGGGAACUGCAUUUGUGACUGCACAGCUGGAGUGCGGCAGAGGGGGAUGGAAUUCCGCGUGUAGCAGUGAAAUGCGUAGAUAUCUGGAGGAACACCAAAGGCGAAGGCAGCUUACUGGAAGAGAUCUGACGCUCAGGCACGAAAGCGUGGGGAGCAAAAGGG